rnacentral:rRNA from 1 species
GGAGAGGUGAGAGGUACCUUGGGGGUAGGGGUGAAAUCUUGUGAUCCUCGAGGGACCACCAGUGGCGAAGGCGUCUCACCAGAACGGGUCCGACGGUAAGGGACGAAAGCUAGGGGCACGAACCGGAUUAGAUACCCGGGUAGUCCUAGCCGUAAACGAUGCUCGCUAGGUGUCAGUCACGGUGCGACCGUGAUUGGUGCCGUAGGGAAGCCGUGAAGCGAGCCACCUGGGAAGUAUGGCCGCAAGGCUGAAACUUAAAGGAAUUGGCGGGGGAGCACUACAACGGGUGGAGCCUGCGGUUUAAUUGGAUUCAACGCCGGAAAUCUCACCGGGGGCGACAGCGAUAUGAAGGUCAGGCUGAAGACUUUACCGGAUUAGCUGAGAGGUGGUGCAUGGCCGUCGUCAGUUCGUACUGUGAAGCAUCCUGUUAAGUCAGGUAACGAGCGAGACCC